rnacentral:rRNA from 1 species
UAGGGAAUAUUGGACAAUGGGCGCAAGCCUGAUCCAGCCAUGCCGCGUGAGUGAAGAAGGCCCUCGGGUUGUAAAGCUCUUUUGUCCGGAAAGAAAAGCAUCGGGUUAAUACCCCGGUGUUCUGACGGUACCGGAAGAAUAAGCACCGGCUAACUUCGUGCCAGCAGCCGCGGUAAUACGAAGGGUGCAAGCGUUACUCGGAAUUACUGGGCGUAAAGCGUGCGUAGGUGGUUCGUUAAGUCUGAUGUGAAAGCCCUGGGCUCAACCUGGGAAUGGCAUUGGAAACUGGCGGACUGGAGUGCGGUAGAGGGUAGCGGAAUUCCCGGUGUAGCAGUGAAAUGCGUAGAGAUCCAGAGGAACAUCCGUGGCGAAGGCGGCUACCUGGACCAGCACUGACACUGAGGCACGAAAGCGUGGGGAGCAAACA